CAGUAAGCAAGCAGUAAACGGGGUAUCAGUGCGAAAAAAUUUGGACAUACAAGAGAAGCGAAUGGUAUCAUCAUAGACUCUUUUAUUUGACGAAUAAUUCAGUUGUAUUACUAAAGCGGAGAGUGGAUAUGCAUGAAAGCCAGAUUGUAUUGAUACUCAGCAAAAACAAGGUAACUUAUCAUUACUAAUCAAUCCUUUUCUUUUACUGAAAGGCAAGUUGCUGUUGUGCUGGAGCUGAGAAGAGGUCUGCCGCCUGCAAUGGGUCCAUCUCUCUCAAGUUAUUGCAGUAUUGUAGCUCACAAGGUUCAAAAAAAGUAUGGUGGAAGCUGUUGCCAAGGUUCCGGCCAGAAAAGACAGCCAGUAUAAAAGGGUCCACGCCACUGAUCUCUACUACAGGGGAUGAACAGCACAUCGAGCGCCCUCGACUAAAGCCGGCCUUGUCCCGGAAGUUGGUGCUUCACAACUUUGCGGCACCACUUUGUUGCACGGCCUGUGGAGACAAGGUUUCUUAGACAUGGCCAUGGCCCUCAAGGAAGAUGCCGAGGCCACAGGCAGUUCCUCCAGUGACCGUGAAAAGGUCCCCUGGGGCACAAGUCUGAUUUGGCACCCCCACCUUUCUCCUGCAGCUUUUCUGUCUACUUAGCUAACCAGCAGCAAGUUUAUCCUUGCAAGCGUUUG